AUAGCUAUAGUAUAAUUAAUGCCUUUGAUUUCCAAUCAAAUGAUCUUCAUACAGCUGGAGUAGCUAUA
rnacentral:tRNA from 1 species